AUGCGCAGCGCUGCUGGCCCGCUCUCUGAGGAGCUUUCAAUACUUUGGGGUCAAGUUUGAGGCAGUUGUAACUGUACUGAGUUUAGUUUUGCUAAUAAUGGUAUUCUACGUGUGUCAGCCUCGUGUGGACUUCUGUAAUGACUAAUGGAUAUGUUUAUAUCCUGAGCAUUUGCUGUAGGAAUUUUAAAUGCAAUCCCAAAACUCAAGAUUACCUUAUUUGGAGAAAUAUUCGUGUUACUAUGUUUAAAAUUUAAUAGAACCAUAUUUUACCUUUCACUUUGGGACUCGCACAGGAUGUUUGCAGCUCUUGAUAUACAGGGUAAGCGAAGCAUAUAAUAAUAAGUUCUCUUCGUGUCUCUUAUUUUUAAUAAAUAGUUUACAAAGCAAAUCUAAUUUAAUGAGAUUCUGCUUUAUAUACCCAUUAGAAUGGCUCUUAUCAAAAAAACAGAAAAUAAGUAUUAGUAAAGAUGUGUAGAAAUUAGAAACCUUGUGCAUAGCUGAUCAGAAUGUAAAAUGAUGUUGCGGCAAUAGAAAUAAUUUGGUGGCUCCUCAACAAGUUAAACAUUGACUUAGCAUAGGUACUAGCAGUUCCACUUCUAGGUAUAUACCCAAAAGAGAUGAAAGCAGGGACUCAAACAAAUACUUGUACUUCAGUGUUCUGUAGCAGCAUUAUUCACAAGUACCAAAAAGUGGAAACAACUCAAAUGUUCAUCUACAGAUGGAGAGAUAAACCAAAUGUGCUAUGUACAUAUUGGAAUGGAAUAUUAUUCAGCCUGUAAAAAGAAUGUGAUUCGGAUACAUGCUACAACAUGGAUGAACCUUGAAAACAUUAUGCCGAGUGAAGCCAGACACAAAAGGACAAAUAAUUGUAUGAUUCCACUUACAUGAGAUAUCUAGAAUUGGCAAAUGCAUAGGGACAG
rnacentral:lncRNA from 1 species